CCUCGGGAGGUUGAAGUGAGGAAGAGUGGUCAAGGGGCGAGAGCCGGAACCAGCCAAGUAGCGUGAAGGAGGACGGCCCUACGGGUUGUAAACUUCUUUUAUAAAGGAAUAAAGUGAGGCACGUGUGCCUUUUUGUAUGUACUUUAUGAAUAAGGAUCGGCUAACUCCGUGCCAGCAGCCGCGGUAAUACGGAGGAUCCGAGCGUUAUCCGGAUUUAUUGGGUUUAAAGGGAGCGUAGAUGGGUUGUUAAGUCAGUUGUGAAAGUUUGCGGCUCAACCGUAAAAUUGCAAUUGAUACUGGCAGUCUUGAGUACAGUUGAGGUAGGCGGAAUUCGUGGUGUAGCGGUGAAAUGCUUAGAUAUCACGAAGAACUCCGAUUGCGAAGGCAGCUUACUAAACUGCCACUGACAUUGAUGCUCGAAAGUGUGGGUAUCAAACAGGAUUAGAUACCCUUGUAGUC
rnacentral:rRNA from 1 species